rnacentral:tmRNA from 1 species
GGGGAUGUUUGGUAUUGACAGGGUAGGACCCUGUGUAGUUGCACGUCGAGCCGCCCAGUCUCGUUAAAGGGGCACCGGCAUAACUGCCAACAACAUCAGCGCUCCGUCGUUCUCACGAACGACCGCGUUCGCUGCCUAACUAAUAGGUAGCCGUUUACCACCUCUCGCCCGGCCGGGUGAGUAAACGCAAACGCCGGGACGCUCCGAGGGAACUGAUUCCGCACCUCGGCUAAGCUAAGGAAAAUCGCUGGAUGAACGCUUUGUCAGGCGUGUGCGCAUCCGGUUAAAAUAAACGACUGACUACACGUGUAGAUGCUCGCAGUUCGCCUAUUUUGGACGGGGGUUCGACUCCCCCCAUCUCCACCA